rnacentral:rRNA from 1 species
GAUGAACGCUGGGGCGUGCCUAAUACAUGCAAGUCGAGCGAACAGACGAGGAGCUUGCUCCUCUGACGUUAGCGGCGGACGGGUGAGUAACACGUGGAUAACCUACCUAUAAGACUGGGAUAACUUCGGGAAACCGGAGCUAAUACCGGAUAAUAUAUUGAACCGCAUGGUUCAAUAGUGAAAGACGGUUUUGCUGUCACUUAUAGAUGGAUCCGCGCCGCAUUAGCUAGUUGGUAAGGUAACGGCUUACCAAGGCAACGAUGCGUAGCCGACCUGAGAGGGUGAUCGGCCACACUGGAACUGAGACACGGUCCAGACUCCUACGGGAGGCAGCAGUAGGGAAUCUUCCGCAAUGGGCGAAAGCUUGACGGAGCAACGCCGCGUGAGUGAUGAAGGUCUUCGGAUCGUAAAACUCUGUUAUUAGGGAAGAACAAAUGUGUAAGUAACUAUGCACGUCUUGACGGUACCUAAUCAGAAAGCCACGGCUAACUACGUG